rnacentral:lncRNA from 1 species
AACACUAAAGAACCCAAAAUUCUUACAAACACAUGAUAUUCAAUGGGCAUUCUCUCAUUCAGUUAACCAGAAAUUUCAAUAGCCUUGAAACCAUCACCAGGUUUCUUGAGCUCCUCUUUAGGCACAGUCACCGUAAGAACUCCGUUUUCCAUAGAAGCCUUGACCUGAUCCAUUUUCGCAUCCUCGGGCAGCCUAAACCUCCUCAAGAACUUGCCACUGCUUCGCUCCACCCUAUGCCAUGUAUCGUUCUUGUCUUCCUUCUCUACAUUCCUUUCUCCGCUAAUCUGAAGCACCCUGUCAUCUUCAACUUCGACCUUCACUUCCUCUUUUUUAAGCCCUGGAAGAUCCGCCUUGAAGACAUGGGCUUCCGGUGUCUCUUUCCAAUCCACGCGGGUGUUUACAAAGGCUGAAUUUUCACGAGAAAGGAGGGAAUUUGAGGUGGCAGUGAAAGGAGAGAAGACCUUGAACGGAUCCCAGAUGUCAAAAGAAAAGAAUGGAUCGAUAAUGCUUCUGCCUCGGUAGUUGUCAAAGAAGCUUGGAAUCAUUUCCAUCUUUUCCAGAAAAUCUUGUAGCUUGAUGGGUUGCUGUUAAUCACCUGACUGGUUUUCUUGUUCUUGAUUUCUCGAUGUCAUGUGAAAGGCGACACGGGUUGGUAUUUAUAUUAAGUAAACGAGCCAUCUGGUACAUUCUGGACGGUCGACUGGGACCUUGUUUCAGGAACAUUCUGGGUCCACACCCAGAUUUUAAUUUGAGAAAUUGAGGAACUUACUCGAAAGUUCCUGUUUCUUUCUGGAUGUAGAUUUGAAAUGAGGGCCGAUUGGGCUGGAAUAUCUAAUGGGCCUAAGCCUUGGUUUCGUAUUUUGUUUUUAGGCUUUGUAAUGUUUGAUUUCCCUUUUCUAUUACUAGUAUAUAUAGGGGUGAUUUAUGGAUUCUGUUUUCAGAUCCUAGUAAAAAUUUUCAUUUAGUUAUUUAUGGGUUGGGAAAUUUCUUGGAGAAGACAACCCAUGGAUCAUUGUAAAAAAUUCAAUUCCAUUGUAAAAAUUUAAGUAUAAAAAGUCCUGAAAAACCAGAUCCAAAUAAAAAAAACCCUAUUAAAAUAAAAAAUAGAUUUUAUCAAUUUAGAAAAAAAAUUAAAAUAACUUGUUUUAGUAAUAUCUGAGUUUAAACCAUAAAAACGCUCAAUUUAAUUGUUUUAUCUUAAGUUCAAAACCAAACAUAUUUUAAAAAAAUUAUUGUUAAUUUUAAGAUUUGAUAUCAUAUCAAGUCACAUGAUUGUCAUAUGAUAUGCUUAACAAAAAUGCUAAAUAAAUACGUGUUUUUUUUUUACAUUAUAAUAUGUUUUUAAAGUUAUUUUUUGUUUUAAAAAUAUAUAAUAUAAAUGUUUUUUACAUAUUUUUUAAUUAUUUUGAUUUGUUGAUAUUAAAAAUCAAAAAUAUAUUUUUAAUUAAAAAAAAACUUUUGAUAUACAUUCUACACCACCAUACCUAUAGAAUAGGUGUAGCACAAACUCUAAUCCUAAAUUACAAUUUCCUAAAUAUUAUUAUUAUUAUUAUUAUUAUUAUUAUUUUAUUAUUUGAUGUUCAAGGGGAGAGAGUGCAUUUCUCAUCAUACAUAUCCGUAAAGCGAAGUUCUUGAGAUGUUGAAAGAAGUAUUUAUCACCAUGGUUGAAUCACUUUUUCACAAUUAAUUUUGCUUUAAAUUAUUUUUUUAUUUUUUAAUAUAUUAAUAUUAAAAAUAAAUUUAAAAAAAUAAAAAUUAUUUAAUUUUAAUAUAUUUCCAAAUAAAAACUAUCUAAAAAAGCAACUUCUACUCCUAUCUCAUACCACCCCCGAAAUAUAACCAAUGAAGGGCAGCGCAGUUUGAAAAUGACCAUCAGUUUACAAUGUAUAUGGUAUCCUUUUCAGCUCAUUCACUUAAGAAAUUAUGGGUCACCUUCAACUCUAAUUUCCAAAAGAAAAUAACAAAAUAACAAAACUAAACAGCCAAGAAAGAGGUCUUUUGUUGCUGGAGUUCUUCAAGGUGAAAACCCUGGAUUUGCGAGGAGCAAACGAAGUGGGAACUGGUACGACUUCUGCAACCACGCAGUAAAAAUAGCAGGCUAUGGAAGGACGUUACAAAUUUGAUCGUGGCAAUCAAAUAGAUACGGUAGCUUUGGUGAGAAUCCGAGACUGUACUUUUGAUGUUUCUCCUAGAGGUCUUUUGUUGCUCUUAUGAAGCCUUCAGGAUGAUUUUGAUUCUAUCUGUAUGAAGUAAUACCUAUAAACUACUAAUUAUUGUAAGAUGUGAAAUAUAUUUAUUGUAACACAGGAUGAGAUUUUAAUUCUAUGAUAAAUUUGUGAUCAUAGCGUUGGCUUGAUGGGGUUUGGAUUUGCAGUUAAGAGAGCCUUCCCCUGUCGCCAGAAUUAAUGAUCUUUCAGAGGCACUCUAUGUUGAAGUUCAAGACGAUCAAGAAAGUAUAAUGUAAAGAAACUUCACAGGAUUGUUGAAAGAACUUCUCUGAUUUUGAGGAUUGGCAAAACUGUUAUGUUACAUUCAUAAUAGAUUGAAUCCUAUGUGCACACUUGCAGUAACAGAGAACUUCCAACCACUUGUAAAAACACAAAAGAACAAUUCUUACAGACACAGAAUAUUCAAUAGGCAUUCUCUUAUUCAAUUAACUAGAGAUUUCAAUUGCCUUGACUUCAGGUUUCUUGACUUCCUCUUUAGGCACAGUGACAAUAAGAACCCCGUUCUCCAUAGAAGCCUUGACCUGAUCCAUUUUUGCAUUCUCAGGCAGCCUGAACCUCCUCAAGAAUUUGCCACUGCUUCGCUCCACACGAUGCCAUGUAUCGUUCUUGUCUUCCUUCUCCACAUUCCUUUCUCCGCUAAUCUGAAGCACUCCGUCAUCUUCGAUUUCGACCUUCACUUCCUCUUUUUUAAGCCCCGGAAGAUCUGCCUCGAAUACAUGGGCUUCUGGAGUCUCUUUCCAAUCAAUGCGGGUGUUGACAAAGGCUGAGUUUUCACGAGAGAUGAGUGAAUUAGGGGAAGUGAAAGGGAAGUCUUUGAGUGGAUCCCAAACGUCGAAUGCAGAGACUGGGUCGAAAAUGUUGUUGGCUCGCCGGAUGUAAAAGAAGCUUGGAAUCGUUGCCAUCUUUUACUUCUUUCUUCAGAGAUUUAAUCUUCGUUUACUUGCUGCUAAUGUUUUGAUUGCUUCUUCUUGUUCUUGAUUUUUAUGUGCUAGAGGCGGGACAGGUCGGGUAUUUAUAAGUAAAGGAGGCAUCUGGUUUGUUCUGGACGAUCGAGUAGUACGCUGAACCAGGAGGAUUCUGGGUCCAACCAAUAUCAGAUGAGAUUGAAGAACUUUCUCGUAAAUUCCUGAGUCCUCUGUUGUGAAUUGAAAAUGUGUGGAUUUGAUAUAUCAAUUGGGUUUGAUUUUUUAAUGGGCUGAAGCCUUUGUUUUCCUAUUUUUCUCAUGGGCCAGUCUACUGUUAUCAUUGUUUUCUUUUUCUUGCCUUGAAAGAUUUUUCAGCUUGUUUUUACAUUUUAAAAUAUUAUUUUAAAAUAUUUUUAAAUAAAAAAUACUUUAAAAAUCAACCACUACAGAUUUUUAAUAAACAGAAGGUCUUGUGAAUGAAUAAAAGACAUAAAUCAUGAAAAUAAGAAUUUAAUGUAUAGACAUUACUUAGAUAGGUUCUUGAAUUAAGAAUAUUAUAGGUGGGAAAAUGCCAUUAAAUAUCAACUUAAUGGUCCAUGAACAGAAUUUUUACUUAGAUUUUUAAUAAACAGAAGGUCUUGUGAAUGAAUAAAAGACAUAAAUCAUGAAAAUAAGAAUUUAAUGUAUAGACAUUACUUAGAUAGGUUCUUGAAUUAAGAAUAUUAUAGGUGGGAAAAUGCCAUUAAAUAUCAACUUAAUGGUCCAUGAAUUUGAAACGGUCUUAAGUGAGUGCAAGAAAAUAAAUAAUUUCGUCCUCUAUUUAUUUAUUUAUAUAUAAUUAAUGAUUGAUUGAUAAUCACGUGUAAAAGUUGAAACUAUCUAUUAUACUUUUAAUCAGAAAACCUUAUACAAAUAAAAAUGACCGAUUAUUUACAGCAUUAAAAAACUGUGAUAAUUUUUACUUUCUAAAAAUAAUGUUUUUAUAAUUUUAAUAUAUUAAUAUAAAAAAAUAUUAUUUUAAUAAAUUUUCAAAUAUACAACCAGCACUCCAUAUUAAAAAAUUCAAGGAACUAGUUGCAUAAUAGCUUCGAUGUUAUGCUGAGCAGUUCAAAACUUAAAAACUAAUGUUCAUUGACUGAAAAUUCUCAGCUCUUUAUUAUCCUGGGAAAUUCAAUAACUUCAAUGUUGCAUACUUGAAAUCUAGGGGUUACCAUGAUCUUUUGGACGGCUGGAUCUGUCACUGCAUCCAUCUAUUAUCAACAAUAUGAUAGAUGGUCAUUAUCUCACCACGAUAUCAUGGACGAGCAAGCAUGGGGCGUAGAAACUGUUGAACUUUUGAUAUUCAGAAAGACAAACAAUUAAAAAAAGAAAAACACACUUUAUUGAUGGAUGAUAUUAAUGCAGAAGCUACAAGCCUUUAUAUAGGCAUUUUACUUAACAGACUUCCUACAAAUAAGACACGGAAUGACUAUAAAAUAGAAAGAAUAAAACAACUAACUUUCCUAAUCACACUACAACAAAUUCCUUGUGACUAGGAUUAUUCCUAUUUUAUUGGAAAAUAAAUUGACUAAACCAGCAUAUCACUCUUGACUCAGUUACGGUCUGAUGUUGAUUAACUUUAACACUCUCCCUCAACAUCUACUUCUGUAAUUCUUAUCAAACCAAGCUGCUGACAGAAAGCUUCAAAUUUGUUGCUACUCAGGCCCUUUGUAAAUAUGUCUGCAACUUGAUCUUCUGAUUUGAUCUGCUUCAAUUUAACUUCUUCUUCUAAAACCUUCUCUUGGAUGAAAUGAUAAUGCACUUCCACAUGUUUUGUUCUUGCGUGAAAUACUGGGUUCUCUGCUAGACGAACAGCUGAUUGAUUAUCACAAUACAAUGGAAUUGCAUAAUCUAUCACUUGAUGUAAAUCAUUCAUCAGCCUUAUUAACCAUGUACUCUCUUGAGCUGCCAUUGCUGCUGCACGAUAUUCGGCCUCUGUUGUUGACAGAGACACUGUUGGUUGCCUUUUGCUGCACCAAGAAAUCGAUCCUGACCCAAGUCUAAACACAUAUCCAGUAGUUGAUCGACGAGUGUCAUGAUCCCCUGCAUAGUCAGCAUCACAGUAGCCAACCAUUUUACAGUCUUCACCUUUCUUGUACAGCAAACCAUAGUCAAAUGUGCCCUUCACAUACCUCAGGAUUCUUCGGGCUGCUUCCAAAUGAGGCUUCUUUGGAUUUUGCAUGUAUCUGCUCAUUACACCUACUGCAUAUGAAAUAUCAGGUCUGGUCACAGUUAGAUAUAACAAGCUUCCCACCAUCUGUCGAUACAUUGUAGCAUCUUGCAGCUCCUUGCCUUCAUGUGCACACAUUCUGGUAUUUGGGUCCAUAGGUGUUGCAGUUGCUUUACACUCUAGCAUCCCAAACUUUUCCAAAAGGUCUUUGGCAUAUUUUUGCUGACAUAGAAUUACUCCUCUGCGUGUGAUACUUAUCUCUAAACCAAGGAAAUGAUUCAGCUGUCCUAGUUCCUUCAUUUCAAACCGAACAGACAAAUUCUCCUUGGUUUGGCAGAUUUCUUCAACAUCAUUUCCUGUGAUGAUUAUAUCAUCGACAUAUACGAGUAGUAUAGCUAAUUUUUCACCAUUAGCUUUAACAAAUAAGCUGGAAUCUGCAUGGCUUACUGAAAAUCCACUCUUUGUUAAGAAUUCGGCAAUCUUACCAUACCAAGCCCUUGGUGCUUGUUUCAACCCGUAGAGUGCCUUUCUCAGCUUGCAUACGUAGUUGGGAUGACUUUGAUUUUGAAACCCCAUUGGCUGAUCCAUAUAGAUCUCUUGAUCUAGCUCUCCAUGCAAGAAAGCGUUCUUCACGUCCAUCUGCCACAAGAUCCACUCCUUGUUGGCUGCAACAGCGAGUACAACUCGCACGGAUGUAAGUUUUGCAACUGGACUAAACGUUUCGUCAUAAUCUAGUCCAUAUUGUUGAGAAAAUCCUCGUGCUACCAGGCGAGCCUUGAGUCUUUCAAUUGUUCCAUCUGUGCGUCGUUUUAUCUUAUACACCCAUUUACAUGAAAUGGGUUCCACAUCCUCUGGUCUUGGUACAAGAUCCCAGGUCUGAUUUUGUUGUAGUGCUGUAAUCUCUUCUUCCAUAGCCUUAUUCCAGUUUGAAUUUUGAGAAGCUUCUGUAAAGGUUUCUGGUUCUUUUACACCUUCUACCACUGCAGCAUUUGCAUAUUUUGCAUUUGGCUUCUUCAUUCGUGUUGAUCUUCUAGGUGGAUUUGAUGUUGUUGCUGCAUUGAAUUCUUCACUUGGCUGGUCAUGUAUACCAGUUUGCCACGGGUUCUCUUUAAUUUCAGCAUCAACAUCAAUUACUUCUUCUUGACUGUCAGUGUUAUCUUCAUCUUUGUUCAACUGGAUUCGAGCAAUUUGCAUUUCUUCUUUAAGCCCUUCUGAGUCUGGUAGUGAUUGAUGUUCUAUGGACCACCAUGAAGAUGAUUCAUCAAACACAACAUUUCUGGAUGUGUAGCAUUUUCCAGUAAUUGGAUCACAGCAUCUCCACCCUUUCCGUUGAUUAUCAAAACCAACAAAAAUACAUCUAACAACCUUCUUGUCCAUCUUGCUGCGUAGAUGAUUAGGUAUAAAAACAUAACAUACACAUCCAAAAACUCGAAAAUAGCUCACUGUGGGUUUCUUAUUCCAUAGCUUUUCAAAUGGUGACUGGAAAUCAAGCCUCUGCUGUGGAAGCUUGUUGAUUACAAAAGCUGCAGUCUUCAUUGCUUCUGCCCACCAUCUACCUGGAACAUUCUUUGCAUGAAGCAUACUUCGACAAGUCUCUGCUAAAUGCCUGUUCUUCCUCUCAGCAAUACCAUUUUGCUGCGGGGUAUUUGCACAGGUGAAUUGAUGAUUAAUUCUGCAAUCUCUUAGAUAGUAAGAGAAUUCAUCUGAUAUGUACUCUCCCCCAUUGUCAGAACGUAGACAACAUAUUCUUUUAUUGAUCUCAGCUUCUGCCACCUCUUUGAACUCCUUGAAUCUUGAGAGUGUCUCAGAUUUGUCCUUCAUAAAAUAAACCCACACAAACUUUGAAAAAUUGUCAAUAAAUGUUACCAUAUAUUUCAAGCCACUAACAGAAGCUUGCUUAACAGGUCCAAACACAUCAGAAUGAAUGAGCUCUAAUGGUCCCUUUGCUCUCCACUUCGAUUCUUCAUAUGGUAGUUGAUGUGCCUUGCCAUAUUGACAGCCUAUACAAAUUGCAUCGAUCCUUACUUCAAGCUGAGGCAGACCCUUCAAUGCAGACCUUCUCAUCAUCAUGUUAAGUUUAGAAAAACUCACAUGACUCAGUCUUUGAUGCCAUAGAUCCACUGUCUCACUCUUCCUUGUCUUGUCUACAUAUGCUGUUUGUGCAGACAUCACAUACACUGAUUCAAGCCUCUGCCCCUUUAUCACUGGUUCAUCUAGACUUUCAAGAUCACGGUACACUUUAACAUCUUGAGGACCAAAGAGAACAAAUGUCCUGAAGAUGUUAAUUGUGCCACCAACAAGAGGUUUUUCUUCAUUCCAGGAACAUGAUAAACAUUUUGUAGUGACACAUCCUUGAGAUUAAGUUGGGAAGAGACUACGGCAUCCCCAACAUGGGCUAUAGCCAGCUUUGAAUUGUUUGUUGUGACUACUACGUGUUUUCCCUUGUAUUCCACCAGAUUCUUCAAUUUUUCUUUGUCACCUGUCAUAUGAUUUGAGCAGCCUGAAUCAAUGAUCCAGUCCUUUUCAUAAUCAAUAUGUUCAGGUGUUGUUACUGUGAAGGCUGCCUCUUUUACUUCAGUAAAGAAUGCAUGAGCAUCCCAUUCAUCUUCUAUUUUGAAGGUGACGGCAUCAUUCUCCACAUGCUCCUUCCUCUGCAAACACUCUUCUUCUUCUACUGUCGUGAAGAAUGCAUGAGCAUCCCAUUCAUCUUUAAUUUUGAAGGUAGCUGUAUUACCUUCAACAUGCUCCUUCUUUUGCCAACAGUCUUUUGCCAUAUGACCCUUCUUCCCACAGUUAUAGCACUUCCCUUCAAAUUUUCUUUUGAUCCCGUAGCCCCUUGCUUCACUGGAAUUUCUUUCUUCUCGAUUGAACUUUGUUUUGUCUUCAUUUCUUUUGGAUCUGUCAUUGGCAUGUUGCUUUGGCUUCCAUCUGCCUUUAUGGACAUAAAGUGCAUCAACUUCACCCUUGAGUGCAACUUCUCCCAUUUGUUUGGCUAGUGCUUCUUGACCAGCCAGCAGAUUCUCAAACUCAACAAGUGAUGGUUGAGUCUGCCAUCCUUGUACUGCAGCAACAAAGCUUCUGAAAUCUGGCCGCAAACCAUGGAUAAUUAUCCUUUUCAUCCUGGUUUCACCAAUUGGAGCUUCUGCAUCCAAUUCAGAAAUUUCUCGACAAAGUGUCUUCACCUUGUGGAAAAACUGGGCAACAGUUAGUUCACGUUGAGCUAUUGACAGCAGCUCACUCUCUAACAGUUGAAGCUUUGUAUCAUUCUUCUUUGAGAAUAAAUCUGCAAACGUCUUCCAGGCUUCAUGAGGAUUUUUGGCAUCCCGAAUGUGUUCCAACACAUCUUCUUCAAUUGUUGUUUUCAAAGCAAACAUUGCUUUGCCUGCUUUAAUCUUCCACUUUCGUAAUGCACCAUUUGCAUCCUCAGCCUCUGGUUGUGUAAUUUCACAGCCAUUCACAACUUCCCACAAAUCCUGGCCCUGCAUGUAAGACAUCAUGCACGUUGACCAAGUAUUAUAAUUCUGGUUGUUGAGCUUCUUAAUUCCCCCAAUAACUUGAAGAUCACCCAUCUCACUCUUUUCUUUUCCUCACGUGUUUGACUCUCAAAUAUCAAAUAAAACACUCUCUCUUGAACCCGGCUCUGAUAUCAAUUGUUGAACUUUUGAUAUUCAGAAAGACAAACAAUUAAAGAAAGAAAAACACACUUUAUUGAUGGAUGAUAUUAAUGCAGCAGCUACAAGCCUUUAUAUAGGCAUUUUCCUUAACAAACUUUCUACAAAUAAGACACGGAAUGACUAUAAAAUAGAAAGAAUAAAACAACUGACUUUCCUAAUUACACUGCAACAAAUUCCUUGUGACUAGUAUUAUUCCUAUUUUAUAUACUAGUCCUAUUUUAUUGGAAAACAAAUUGACUAGCAUAUCAUUCUUGACUCAGUCACGGUCUGAUUCACGGUCUGAUGUUGAUUAACUUUAACAGAAACGAGAUGUUGCAAGAAACCGAGUUCCAUCUCCAGAUUAUUCUAGCUAGGAAAUUCAAAGUAUACUCGAUAUGAUGAACAAUUUAUGUUCUGAAUGCAUCCUUCUAACUCUUACGCCUCAAAGAGAUUUACAAAGGGAGGGAAGGGAAGAUCAAAAAUCAAGAUACGCACAAAUUUACAAGCAACCAAGAAAGACACAGGAAAUUCUAUUAGCAAAACUUUUGAUUACAUUACUCCUCUCUGCAUACUGACGAGGAGACCAAACCUUUCAAUUACUUGUAAAAGAGCACACAAGAGCAAAAAAGACACACAAUUCUCAAAAGAGGUAUUAUCUCGUUCAACCAGAGAUUUCAAUAGCCUUGAUAUCCGGUUUCUUGAUCUCUUCUUUAGGCACAGUCACGGUAAGAACUCCAUUUUCCAUAGAUGCCUUGACCUGAUCCAUUUUUGCGUUCUCAGGCAGCCUGAACCUCCUAAAGAACUUGCCACUGCUUCGCUCCACCCUAUGCCAUGUAUCGUUCUUGUCUUCCUUCUCCACAUUCCUGUCUCCGCUAAUCUGAAGCACCCUGUCAUCUUCGACUUCGACCUUCACUUCCUCUUUUUUAAGCCCUGGAAGAUCUGCCUUGAAGACAUGGGCUUCUUGUGUCUCUUUCCAAUCAAUGCGGGUGUUGACAAAGGCUGAAUUUUCACGAGAAAGGAGAGAAUUUGAGGUGGAAGUGAAAGGGAACUCUUUGAGUGGAUCCCAAAUGUCGAAUUCGGACAAUGUGUCGAAGAUGCUGCCGCCUCGGCGGUUGUUAAAGAAGCUCGGAAUCAUUGCCAUCCUUCUUCUUCUUCUUCACAAAAUCACUCGUUUGCUUACUUUGAUGGGCUGGUACUGAUAUUUUGAUUGCUUCUUGUGCUUGUUUUCCUUGAUGUUGUACGAGAGAUGGGACAUGUUGUGUUUUUAUAAGAAGUAAGAGGAGACAUCCAGUGUAUUCUGGAUGACGAAGUUGGACGGUGAUUGAGAAGAUAGACGAACUUUCUCGUAAAUUCCUGAAUCCUUCUGCCUGUGAAUUGAAAAUUAAAAUGGACUUGGUGUUUAAUGGGCUUUUAUUUAUAAUGGGCUCGGGCCUAUUUUGCUUACAGGCCCUCUACUGUUUUAAUUUUUCUUUUUCAUCUUUAAUUUUCGGUUUUCUUUUUCAGAGAAAUAACUUUUGACUCAAGGAUGGGUUUAUUUAAAAAAAAAACAAAUUUAAUUUCUAAUUAGGAAGAUCCUGCAAAACCGGUUAAACAGAUGGAUUAGGAAAAUAAAAUUUAAUGUUUAGAGCACUUAAAGGUAAAUAUAUCAAAAGCUAUUAUAUGGUCUAUUAAUUUUAAGAAGGGGGAUAAAAAUAAAAAGAAUGAGAAAAUCAUAAAUUAAUCCAUAAAAAAUAAAAAAUAAAAUUUAUCUAAUUUUGAAAAGUCAUUUUUUAUAUUUAUUUACCUUGAUUUAAAUUUUAAAUAAAAAAUAGAAACAAAGAAAAGAAAUAAAAUCGCAACCAAAUCCAUCAAAAAUAAUAAAAAUAUUUUUACCUAUGCUGAAAAUAAUGUUUCAUUCCUAUUUUUCUUCACUCUUUUUUAUUCUUGUAUUUAUCUCUUCGUGUGAACAAUUCUUAAAUAAACAAUAUUUUAUAAAGACAUAAAUGCCAUUAAAAAUCAACUUAAUUUUUCAAAACUAGAUCUAUGAUCACAACAUUUUAAGUGGGCUUUGGAGAUAGAUUAUUAAGAUUCAUAUCAUCAUGAUCCACUACGAAACACCUCCAAACGAAUUUAUAGCCCCCGGAACUUUAACUGUGGGUUUGGAAUCCGCAAGAUGCAUAAUGUAUUUUUGUUACUCCUUGAAUUUUUGUACACUGAAUAUCACUCAAAGCCAUGAACUCGGGAAAAAAACAAGGUAAAUAUUUAAUUUCUUAGAAGAUUUUAUUGUAUUGAGGGAAUAAAUAAAAAUAUAUUAUUUUAAUAUAUUUUUAAUUAAAAAAUAUUUUUAAAAAUCACUCUACACUUUAAUAACAAAUAAUUAAAAUAUAUGUAGCCCAAACUCCGCUACUAAAUUACAACUUCCUAAAUGUCUUCAUUAUUAUUAAAAAAAAAAUUCUCAUCAAACCUCUGCAUAGAGUGAAGUUCUUCAUAUGUUGAAGGGGCUACUUGGCGCAGCAAUUGAACCAUCAUUUUAUUAUUUUUUAGUUCUUAUUGUUUUUAAUUAGUAUUUUAAUAUAUUUUUAAAUAAAAAAAAUAUUUUAAAAUAUCAUUAUUAUAAACAUCCCUAAAAUAUGACUAAUCAAGGGUAACAUAAUUUAAAAAUGGCUAUCAAUUGACACUUGAGGGUCCAGCUGCUGUGGUCAACCGUGUGACUUGUUCCGUCCCCAUCCCGGGUUCGACCCUCUAUGUGUACGCCUGUCACCCCCGCGGUACCUUACAUGUUCACUGGGCUUGCAGGAUGCCCAGUGGACCCGGGAACUAGUUGUGGUGCGCGCAAGCUGGCCCGGACACCCCGGUUAUCAAAAACAAAAAUGGCUAUCAAUUGAUCAUGUAUAUGACAGUAUCUUAUAAGUUUAGCACCAUAUUAAAUUCAAGUGCUAUCAGAUUAACAUUCUUAGAGUUGAUUGUAUAUCAAAUUUAAUUGAACAUGGGUCUAACAAAGUACUGGAUCUAUAAUCUUUAGGUUUGAUUGCAUGUUAAGUCCACUUGAUAUGAGUCUAGCAAUCCUCUCAACAUAUUAACUUUCAGUUUGGUUGCAUAUCAGAAUAAUUUGGCUUGCUAUCGCAUUCAUUGACAAUAAGCUUAGCGGUAUGCCAAGUUAAAAAGACUAAAAGUUUGAAGAUUAUUAUAAACCUCGUAUUCUGUUAUAAGAAUUCAAUUGUUUGUUUAUGCUACAUGAAAACCUAAUGUGAUGGUUCAAUAAUAAAAAAUAAAAACAAGGAAAGAGUUGUGGAACUCAGUUCCAUCACUAAGAGCUUUAAAGAAAUGAUAUAACGACGUAACAGUAGUGAUAAGAAUAAGAAGAAUCUUCUUCCCUUUUGUUUCUUCAGAACUCCAGAUUGUUCUAGGAAAAUCAGAAUUAAUUGACGAUGUCAAUUCUUAUGAUGAAACAAGAACUGUUAUUAGCAAAACUGUUUACUUACAUAAUACAUUUGAACACUAAAGAACCCAAAAUUCUUACAAACCCAUGAUAUUCAAUGCGCAUUCUCUCAUUCAGUUAACCAGAGAUUUCAAUAGCCUUGACACCGUCACCAGGUUUCUUGAGCUCCUCUUUAGGCACAGUCACAGUAAGAACUCCGUUUUCCAUAGAAGCCUUGACGUGAUCCAUUUUCGCAUCCUCGGGGAGCCUAAACCUCCUCAAGAACUUGCCACUGCUUCGCUCCACCCUAUGCCAUGUAUCGUUC